UUCGCACGACUGCAACCUGUUUUCGGAACUUUACCGUCUGCGGUACUACUAAGUGCUAAAUGAACGUGUGCCCUCCGUGUGCGUGUUACUUGAUUGAACUAGCACUCCGUUGGUCACCGUACAAUU
rnacentral:snoRNA from 1 species